AAGGAGGUGCAGGUAGCGGGGCGCUUGAGGUGAGGUGGCUGCAGGGUCGCUCGAGAAGAACAUGCUCAUCAGCACCACCUGGAUGCCUUCGUCAUCAGCAAUGUGGACAAGGUAAAGUGGGAUGGCGGGAUUGUAUAGUGCUCAUAAGCCAGUCCGGGCAUUGUCCUUCCUCGAAUGAAUCUGAGACUACUCCUCAUAUGUUAAUCAGUUGCUCCUCCCUAGCUUUGGUUUGGUCUGAACUUCAAAGUUUUCAUCCACCCAAUGUUGAUUCAGUCAAAGAUCUCUUGGAAAAAUUAUUUCGACAAGAUUCACUCUAUAAUGUUGUUAUCAUUGUCCUCUGGAAUAUAUGGAAGCGCAAAAACUCCAAGGUCUCCCGGGAUGUUUUUGAGGAAUUGCACAUUACUGCUAGCAAGAUUGCUGAUGAUUGAUACCAUGGUCCAACAGUUCUCAGUUUUAUGAAGUGGUUCAGGCUGGCGUAAGCCGCCAUAGUCCCAGUAAAAAAAGGCUACAAGCUUCGCUUCGGCCUUACGGAACUGAAUAUUAUGUAGUUUUAUUGAGAUUAUUGAUAGUGCUUCUCUACUAUCAAAGAAGAUAA